rnacentral:lncRNA from 1 species
CCCUCCUUAUGAAAUUUCGUCCCUGAAAUUUACGUACCUGGUAUUUUAAAGAGUUGAGAAUACCUUGCUUUCAUUUCAGAUUCCAUCUUCCCUGUCCUCAUGAUUUCUCCAUUGCUCAUCUCCUGUAUUUCAGAUAUCAUUCUAGAAUACAGCUUCAAAACAAAGGUUAAUUGACAUAUCACAAUUUGUCAACUUAAGUAAGAAAACUCAGCUUAGGUAGG